rnacentral:misc_RNA from 1 species
AAAAAAAAAAAGAAAGAAAGAAAACCUUUAUCAUCCCACUUCUAUCUACUUUUGGAUUGAAGAACAAUGGAAAGAAAACCAUGGGCAAAAUAUAGAUUAUGUUUCAUCUCAACAAGUAUUGGAUGUAAUGAUAAGGCUCAUUGCGCUCUAAAAGAGAAAACAGGCUCAAUUUUUAGAAAAGACAUUGUUGAAAGAGUAGCCACGAAGGAAGAAGG